rnacentral:rRNA from 1 species
UAUCUCUGUAGAGUCUGCAUAUCAAUAAGCGGAGGAAAAGAAACUAACUAGGAUUCCCUCAGUAACGGCGAGUGAAGCGGGAAGAGCUCAAAUUUGAAAUCUUCAAGGUUCUACCUUGACGAAUUGUAGUUUAAAGAAGUGUUUUCUGUUGGAGUUUUGGUAAAAGUUCUUUGGAAUAGGACAUCAUAGAGGGUGAGAAUCCCGUAUUUGACCAUUAUUUCCAACUUUGUGAUACACUUUCAAAGAGUCGGAUUGUUUGGGAAUGCAGUCCAAAAUGGGUGGUAAAUUUCAUCUAAAGCUAAAUACUGGCGAGAGACCGAUAGCGAACAAGUACCGUGAGGGAAAGAUGAAAAGAACUUUGAAAAGAGAGUUAAACAGUACGUGAAAUUGUCAAAAGGGAAGCGUUUGACACCAGUGUUGUUUUCUCGAAAAUCAAUUAAAAAUGGCGGGAUUUUGUGUUGUAUUGACUUUAUCAGCUUUCUGCACUUUUUUCCUGUCUUUUUUAAUGCACUUUUCGUUUAACAAGUCAACAUCAAUUUCUUUUGUUGUAAAAGGGUCAUUGGAAGGUGGCUUUCUUUUCGGAGAAAGUGUUUAUAGCCUUUGACUUCUGCAAUCGGAGAGAUUGAGGUCUGCAGCGUAGAUCCUUCGGGGUUAGAUGCAUUUGUGCUAAGUUAUAGCCUUUCAUAGACAACUUGUUGACUAUGAUCAGUCAUGUAGCUUACUCGCUUAUGUCAUUUUACCUACGCUUAGGAUGUUGAUGUGAUACUGCGAGCA